CAUCCUGACAUAAGAUUAAUUGCGAAUGUAUAUCAUUUUAACGUUAGAAAGUAAUGACGUUAACCUCGAGUAGAAUCAAAACGAGCAUAAUAUACGGUUAUUGGUUUUAUUACAGUGCCAGGAUUUGUUCAGAAUAUAUAUUUUUUUGUACUUGCUAACUGGUUGAAGUUACUCACGUGUUGCAUUCAACGAUUUAGAAACCCGAAAAUAUCCGACUUUCCUAGUUCCGACGAGCACUUGAACGCGGCACAAGGAGCGACACAAAUCUUUGACGUCGUCGUGCAAGAGAAGGCAGAAGAAGGAAGCUCCAGUAGGGUUUGUGUACUUUGGUGUUUAAACGUUAUUAUAACGUUACCCUGUUUAACAAGACAUCACCUACGCCCAACUUUAGCCGUUUAGUGUCAAGACAAGCCAGAAAACUCAGGAGGUUGAUGUGUUGUGGGCCGUCUGUAAAGUCCUAAAAUAUGUCCCUGAGGAUGCAAAAUCUGACCCAUCACACCACUCUUCAAGAGGGCCACUACGCUCCAGAUUGUCUUCUGUCCUCAGAGGUCCUUGUUGAGGAUCUACCCUAUCAUACCACUCAUAUUCUUCAUUAAUAAAAUAAAACAAUGGGCCUUUAUAUAAUCUGUGUCGCUCACUCUAUGGGUGAAUUACGAAUCAAUUACUGUAUGCAGAUGUGCAAAAAAAUUGUGAUGAAGAUUUUGUUUUGCUAUUGCUUGUUAUUGUUUUUGUUUUGCUAUCUGUUUUAAAUGUAAGAUGAUUUAGCAGAUUUGAACUUUAAUUGGUGACUAUGGAAACAGAUAGAAAUGUAAUGAACCAUAUUUUCAAUAACCAACUUUAUCCUCUGCAAUACUUUUUACUGUAGGUAAUACGCUGUAGUCAGGUGGUCGUUACCAGGUUAUGAUGAGGUCUUAACUAUAACCAGUAGGCAACA